rnacentral:rRNA from 1 species
CCUACGGGUGGCUGCAGUGAGGAAUAUUGGUCAAUGGGCGAGAGCCUGAACCAGCCAAGUCGCGUGAGGGAAGACGGUCCUAUGGAUUGUAAACCUCUUUUGUCGGGGAGCAAAAAGGCCUCGUGAGGCCACAAGUGAGAGUACCCGAAGAAAAAGCAUCGGCUAACUCCGUGCCAGCAGCCGCGGUAAUACGGAGGAUGCGAGCGUUAUCCGGAUUUAUUGGGUUUAAAGGGAGCGUAGGUGGAUUGUUAAGUCAGUUGUGAAAGUUUGCGGCUCAACCGUAAAAUUGCAGUUGAAACUGGCAGUCUUGAGUACAGUAGAGGUGGGCGGAAUUCGUGGUGUAGCGGUGAAAUGCUUAGAUAUCACGAAGAACUCCGAUUGCGAAGGCAGCUCACUGGACUGCAACUGACACUGAGGCUCGAAAGUGUGGGUAUCAAACAGGAUUAGAUACCCUGGUAGUC